UUUAGUACCAAGCACCAGUCCCAAGACAGACCCCUGGAGGACACUUGUGACCAGCCUCCAUCUGGGCAUAGAGCCAUUGACAGCAGCCCUGUCUGCUGCAAUCAUUCCACCAGUUCUUUAUCCAUCUGAUAGUCCAGCCUUCAAAUCCAUCUCUCUCCAAUUUAGAGAUAAGGACCAAGAAACCUGAUGUCUAAUUAUUACAACAAGUAUUUGCAUAACCAGGUGAAUGUGCUUAGAAAAAGCAAUUUUGCACUACAGUCAGAUAACCAUUAAAACAAGAAAAUGAUUUUUAGCCAUUUAUGCAUUUUAAGCAUCUUAUCUGUCAUUGUAGUAAAUGAGCAUAUACAAAUGAUUUGCAAUUAAUUUUGCAUAUUUUCACACAAACUAAAUGCUUCUUUCUGGGACAUAUGGUUCUGAACUUCAUUAACUAUUGAUAAAAUUGUUACUGGGUGUUACUGACAUGCAAAAUAUAUGUAUAUAUUGCUGUUAAUGAAUUCUGAUCUUUUUAAUAAGUGAUCUUUUCUUCAGCAGAUGUAUGGGAAUUGCUAAGUUAGGGCCUUAGCCAAUGAUUGAGCACCUGGUAAACAGACACAGCCAACCCUGAGAGCACAGGUGAAUUGCUUUCGACCAGAAGCCUCAUUUAAGGGCUGGCUACUUAGAGGAAGGAUAUCUACCUGGAGAUCCCUUCUUUUGGAGUAUUUGAUGAGCCCUGAUCCUUGGGAUGGACUCUGCUGGCCCAGCUGGCUGUGUGGGAGACCAGGAGUGUUGCUUCUGACCGGGUCCCCUAGACUUCAAGCAGCUCAUACAUUGCAUGAGGGGCUAUAGGACUCCUGCAUGCAAUGAGGAAGGCAGAAUAUGGCAAGUUCUCUCCUUAAGGUUUUGACUCAUCCAUGUAACAGAGAAAUGAAGAAUUUUAAUGUGGUCCAAAGCAAGAGCUCUGGAUGAAUUACAAUCUGCAAUUGCUCCAGAUACUCCAGCACCUUUGCCAGCAUAUCCUCGUCCAGAUACUGCCUGUUUUGCGUGUCAUCGGUGUCCCCAGCCAUGGAGAGCCUUUU